CUCAGAUAAAAUAUGAUGAUAAAGUUUAAUAUUUAUGAUUUGAACGUGACCAAACUGCUGUAACUUGUUUUGUGUAAAACCCGAUUCGUCUCAUGAGCGUCCUGUUGAGGAGGUACGAGCUCAGCUGCCAUCACCGUACACACGCAGCUCAUUGAUGUCUUUCUAUUGUUCCACAGGCCUGUACUUAAGCAGCCUCACUCCACUCACUCAUCGCCAGAUUGUCUUCGCUUCCAUGCCUGACCUUCCCGCUGCCUGCUCCUACUGGAUUCGUCUGCUCUGCCUCCUGCCUGCCUGACGCAGACUCUGCCUCCUGCUUGACCACAAGCCCUGCCUGCCCCUGUACAGAGUCCCCACCUUUCCCACAAGCUGCCUGCUGAGGAAGCCAAAGUAUCUGGAGGAAACCCACGCAGACAGAGGUGAACAUGCUAACUUCACAUAAUAAGGCCCUGGCUGGCCUGGUUUGAACUCCGG